GAUCGGCCGCAUUGAGAAAGGAGUCACGGCCAUGAGCGCGCUCGUCGAGCAGACUUGUUUACACCGAACGCCAUUCAAAACGCGGACGGCCGCGAUCAUAAUCGCAUCGUUAAUCGCCGGAGCCUCUGUAUAUUACGUAUGUGUACCGUGGACGUUCAAGCGAUAUUGGAUAAAGAGGUUCUAAUAAAGAGUAAUUAUUGUAAUUAUAUCUGCAAUAAUUAGGAUUCCCGUAACAUAUCCAGGUGGAAAAUAAUCUCGACGUGACGAUAGAAUACGCGUUUAACCAGAAGUCAAUCACAGUUCACACGCACGUAGUGCCGAAAUCAAUUCAUCGCGAAUUACGGUGAAUUUGAUUGUAGUUGCUGAUAGAAAUCCGGCUGGAUAGAAAGCCGAUCGACGAAAUUUCGUAACAAAUAUUAAAUUUUACUAGUGGCAGGAGAUAAAGAAGUCUUAAUACAAGUAUUACAAUGUAGAAAAUAUAAAUAUUUUACACA